rnacentral:miRNA from 1 species
CUGGGGCGCGGCGGGACUUGUAGUCCGGUCUUCACUCCGGACGCCCGCGGCUGCCUAGCGCGUGGUGCGCGACUGAACUGCAGUUCCCAUCAUGCCCCGGG